UACAGAGGUGGCAAGCGUUGUUCGGAAUUACUGGGCGUAAAGGGCGCGUAGGUGGCCAUCUAAGUCAGACGUGAAAUCCCCCGGCUUAACCUGGGAACUGCGUCUGAUACUGGACGGCUUGAGUAUGGGAGAGGAACGUAGAAUUCCAGGUGUAGCGGUGAAAUGCGUAGAUAUCUGGAGGAACACCGGUGGCGAAGGCGGCAUCCUGGACCAACACUGACACUGAGGAGCGAAAGCCAGGGGAGCAAACGGG
rnacentral:rRNA from 1 species